rnacentral:rRNA from 1 species
CCUACGGGAGGCAGGCAGUGGGGAAUAUUGCACAAUGGGCGGAAGCCUGAUGCAGCAACGCCGCGUGCGGGAUGACGGCCUUCGGGUUGUAAACCGCUUUCGCCUGUGACGAAGCGUGAGUGACGGUAAUGGGUAAAGAAGCACCGGCUAACUACGUGCCAGCAGCCGCGGUAAU